AAUUAACCUUUUUAUUUGUUCCUGGAAGGGAUGUGUUGUCAAGCAAACCCAGCAUGGGGGCCCACCUGACACUGCAGGUGACCGUAACAGUUAUAGAAGGGGUAAUAUGAUACAUAUAUAUUGCAAAAACACUUUGCUUAAUUAUUCUAUUAAUAAAUACUCCAUAUCUUUAUGUAUCAUACAUGCCACUUUUUCUUUUUAAAAAGUAGGUAUGAUGAUGAGUUUAUGCCAACGGUUCUCUAAAUAGACAGUUGGCUUUUAACCAAUUUUCCCACCAAAACCAUGAGUGGAAACUCUGAUUGCCACAUUACAGGACAAACAUAUACAAAUUAGGUUCUUUUCAAACAGAGUUUCUUAAGGUUUUUAAGAUCAAAUAUAUUAAGGAAAGAACUUACGAAUGUUUUGCGGUAGGAUUUGCUAAUAUAAUCGUCCUCGGAGUCAUCAAGAUUCCUAACCUGGGCAGUAGUGAGAGUCUCCUCACGUCCCCCGGUCUGGCUCACCUCCAUCCUGCCCCACAGAUGACCACCGUCCUGACGCUGUUUAUCCUUGAUACCUUUACCGUGGAUUAUUUCUCACUAAGCAGUGUUCUUUCAGUUUUCUUCUUUGACCUCUGAACAGGGUCACGGUUGCGCGAGUGGCCUGGCGGCCUUCGGGUCCAAGGCAGCGUCGUCCUGGGCGGGAACAGGUUGCAGCCCACUGGCCAAGCAAGGUCGCCUCAAAGACGUGACCUCCGGCCCGCUGUCAGUCAGGCGGGCGGGGGCGGGGCCUCGCGAACCGUCCAAUCCGGGGAGCCGCCGGAACCGUACGUGCGGGCGACGCGCUGUGGACGGCGGGGACUGUGUGCCGUCGCUGCUGGCCGCGGAGCCGCGCAUCACCUCUCGCCGCCCUGAGAGGCUCCGGGAGGCGCCGCCGCCGCCUCGGGCGCCGUGACCCCCGCUGGCCGCGGCAAUCGGAUGGUGGCCGACCCGCUACCCCAGAGAGCGAGCGAUGGUGAGUGUGCGGGGCCAGGAGUCGGGCCGGGGGCCGGUGG
rnacentral:lncRNA from 1 species